rnacentral:rRNA from 1 species
CCGACACGCGCCGCUGCCCUUUGCCUCCGCCCCCGUAGCCGUCCGCGUGCGCCGCCCUUUGCCUCCGCCACCACCGCCGUCCGUAUCGCUGCCCUUUGCCUCCGGUCACUUAUAUCCCCAAAUCACGGAGCUACCAAUCAUUACACAAAUCUCCGCAUCUGCGGAUGUGGCUGCAGCCCACGUCGUUCCACUGUGAGGCACCGGGAGAGCGGGGAAGGCAAGAUGAUGGAGGGUUGGGAGGCCUAUUUUAUGGCCGGCGAACACGAGACUAGCAAGGUCCGCGACCUCGGUGAAGCCCGUGGCAGUGGGAGGCCGGGCAGGUACCGGCAAGCGCGCAAGCGCCACCUUAGGGGAGGGGCGACCUGCGACGAGAGGGGCAACUCCGGCAUGCCAAGUUUGGAACUACAAAAGCACGCUCACCGUCGGCCAGUGAGGUUAGUCACCAGUCACCACCCGCUGUUCUACCUGCUCGGUUUGUUUUGCUUCCAUCCGUGUUGACUUCCUGCCUUUGCUUGGCAUCACGAGGGUGCAUCCAGUGAUUAUGUGCUUCUCCGUGAUGGGGGUGGCAAUUUGUGUGUUAAUUAUCUUUGAGCUGACCAGGGCCUCUUCAACUGGCUUGGCAAUUGCGCUGGCAGCCGGAACAGUGUGUGAUUGGUAGAACCUUGCCUAUCUGACGUUAAUUCCGUGGUUCAUAGUCUACAUACUGAUGUUAUUAUAUCCACCUAUUAGAUAUGUGUCAUUCGUACCUGUUAAACUUGAGUGUUUUUAUUUAUUUAUUGGAUUCAACCGCCUCUAUGAUUUGGUGACCAUCUUUAAUCAUUUUACAUUAGAACCUUCUUUAUUUUGGUUGCACCAAGACUUAAUGUUGUGUCAUGAUACUGCUUGCUUCUGAACUUACAACAAAAAUAUUUCAUUCAUGUUCUGACAUACUUUGGUGAAGACUAAAUUUUGCAUUAAUUACAAAUAUGUUUUGCACAUAUAUGUUAGCACAUGAUUCAGUUUCUAUAAUUUCAUAUUACUGCAAUUCCACGCAGGGGAUUUGUGUCCAUUCAUGACUUGCUGUACUAUAGGAGUUGUUGAGAAUUCCUGGACAAAUAAAAGUUUCCUGCUUGGGUCACAAUUACUCAAAUAUGAGCCUUUUCAAUGCUUUCUUUUUUAUGUACUAUUUAUUUGAUCAACAACCUAUGUGAAGUACUUUACGGAGCAACCAUGCUGUAGUGCCUUAUAUACAAUUAAUCACCUUCUAUUCAUAGAUGACAGACAAUAUUCCAGAGCAGGUGGUACGAGCUUCAUGUAUGUUGCUGAUUCAUAAGAGACAGACUUGGGUGCAGGUGACGUAGUCCUUGGAAUGCUUCCUUUAGAAUAGAAAUUUCUAGGCCAUGGAGUUAAUAUAUAAAUUGAAAUUAAGACAAGAAGAAUGCAUUUAGUUAGGUUUACUCUACAUUGUACUUUGAUUUAAAAAGAAACAUGUUUUGUUGUUUCAUGAGAUUGAAUCAUGGGCUGUGACCAAGCAAUAUAUUGCAUGCUCAUAGUGUGUUUUAUUUACAUUUGUGUUCUCCUACAUGGAAAAUAUAGACUUAAUGCCAGAUUGGAAAUUACAUUUUAUUUGUGUCACCCAGAAGGUCCAGAAUUGAUAGAAAUAUGACCUUUAUUUGUCCAUGAGCAAUCUUUUCAAAUAACCAUUUAAUGAUUACCUCUUUCUAUUGCUACUCAGAUGCUUAGCAUAAGCCAAUAAAAAAAUACUAGGUAGUUCUGGUUAUAAAUUAAUUGUCGGUUUAUAAUCAUAUUACGGGUACUCGGAUGCUUAGCAUAAGCCAAUAAAAUAAUAUUAGGUAGUCAUUAUUAUAAAUUAAUUGUCGGCUUAUAAUCAUAUUACGGGUACUCAGAUGCUUAGCAUAAGCCAAUAAAAUAAUACUAGGUAGUUCUGGUUAUAAAUUAAUUGUCGGCUUAUAAUCAUAUUACGGGUACUCGGAUGCUUAGCAUAAGCCAAUAAAAUAAUAUUAGGUAGUACUGAUUAUAAAUUAAUUGUCGGCUUAUAAUCAUAUUACGGGUACUCAGAUGCUUAUCAUAAGCCAAUAAACAUUGUGAAAUAACCAUUCAAUGAUUCAUUUUUCUAUAUCAGGAAAUUACAUUUUAUUUGUGUCACCUAGAAGGUUCUGAACUGAUAGAAAUGUGAUCUUUAUUUGUCCAUGAGCAAUCUUGUCAAAUAACCAUUUAAUGAUUACCUCUUUCUACUCCUACUACGCACAUACACCACCGCCAACCAUCCUCCCGAAACAGUCGCUCGGCUAAUAUGGUGUUUCCAUGCUGAUCGCACUUUUGUUCUUGCUAUUAUGAUAGCUAAGUAUGAAACUCGGGGUUUAGAAGCUUGAGAAAUUGUAUCUGGACAUGGCCUUGCAAAAAGAAGUUAGGUGCAUUCUCUAUAAAGGGCAACCUGGUGCAUGUAGCUCCCGCUUGCGCAGGGUCCAGGGAAGGGUCCGACCACUUUGGGUCUAUAGUACGCAGCCUUUCCCUACAUUUCUGUAAGAGGCUGUUUCCAGGACUUGAACCCAUGACCUCAUGGUCACAAGGCAGCAGCUUUACCACUGCGCCAAGGCUCCCCUUCAGGUGCAUUCUCUAUGAGAAACUGAAAAUAUAUAUUUUCUUAAAUUAGGUCAGGUCUAUAUACUAUCUUUGGUAACUGAAAUUGUUAUGCUUAUAUUGAAAAUAAUUUGAAAUUUACAAGGCAGUGGAGCCAGUUCAUAUUUUGUGAUCAACCAAAGUGCAAGCAACCUAAAUUAGUAAUCUUCGAAUAAACUGGCUUAUAAAUUUUUGAUGGUUUUGUCAAUAGUACAGUAGCACUGGAUAUUCUGCUAUUUCUUAUAUUUAGAAUUUGCGCUGACCUGAUUACUACUGUGCCAUGCAGAAACCUUGAUGCAAAAGGAAGCUCCAUGAAGAAGAGAUUGAAAAUCCAACAUCACAACAUAUAUCUGAUUUCUUAUUUUCAUGAUUAGCAAAGUUAUUGCAGACUGCUUGUUUGUUGUCUGAUAAAAUACAUCUCUGAAAAUUCAAUAGACCCUUUGAUCGAGUUUACAUCUGUUAUCCUGUCUGUUCCAAAUUUGAUUUAGGUCUAUAGGCAAGGGCUAAACUGAAUCAUGCUACUACACAAGGGCUAAACUAAACCAUACUAGUACUUCCUACAUGCCCAAUUACUGAUGAUAGGAACUAACAGUUGGGCUGGGCGAUGUUCCCAUGCAUGGUCGCGCUAUGUUAAUUAGUGUGUGCUGACCGUAACAUGUUACUAUUAUUUUUCCGCAGAGGAGAGAGGGCCUGGCGAAGCACGUGGACCAGUUAUCAUUACGGUGGAUUUUACACGACGCACGCGCAUCGGUCUAGUUAGCGCGUAUGCUAAGAAAUAAAGUGCACAGACUUAAUUUAGCAUGUCAAAACACUUUCUUUGACUCCUGAAUUUAGAAUUGCUGCUUGGUACGCACUAUUAAUUUUCAUACUAAUAGGCUUAACCAAAACUCCGCCUAUGUCUUCUAGGCAUAGCCGGUCCCAAGCCCGGGUAAAGGAGGAGGGUUGUGAUAGGCUUGGCGAGCCAACGUAAAAACUAGCCAGUCCCAUGGGUAUGAAACCCAUUUGAGCGAGAGUAGUACUAGGAUGGGUGACCUCCUGGGAAGUCCUCGUGAAAGGGUUUCAUAUCUAAGGGUUGUGGUAGGCUUGGCGAGCCAACGCAAAAACUAGCCAGUCUUUUGGGUAUGAAACCCAUUUGGGCGAGAAUAGUACUAGGAUGGGUGACCUCCUGGGAAGUCCUCGUGAAAGGCUUUCAUAUCUAGCCUACCCCAACUUGUUUGGGAUAAAAGGCUUCGUAAGUAAGUAUAGGCUUAACCAAAUGUUGUAUCAAUUGGGUAAAGUACUCCAUUGCACUUCCAGGCAAACUUCGGCAAUUAGUCAGAAUCCAAUGUCACCCAUGAUUGGUAUUAUGGGUAUCCAUUAGUACUACCAACGUACUGUAGCCAGGUACAAUCAGUACGGACAUGCACUAAUCAGCAUCACCUCUGCAUUCUAAUUAUGCAGUGAACUUGCCGCGGAUCAUUUACAGUUUUGAAACAAUGCUGAAACUCUCACACUUUUUCUUGGCAGAAAACAGCUUACAGAAUAUAGCCAAUCUAUUUUUUGUAUGAAUCCGAGCUUACUAAUUUAUUCAUCUGGAGAUAAAUUGAUUGUAGUUUGACACUUGGUUGUUGCUUCCUUAUUUUUCAAAUGUACCCCCCUUUCAAGCACACACUAGGUUGAUUCAGAUAUUAUAGAACUCUACAUCGUAUUAUACAUAUUAUUUCUGUUGUGUUUCAGCUUAGCGGAAAAUUUCAUUCGAAGAUUUGACUAGCAUCCAACCAGAGGAAUGACCCGAAGGGUUAGCAAUCUUACAAGUUUGAAAAGUGUGACAAUAGUAGGGAUUUUGUUUUUCUGGUAACACAGUACUUGGUCAGGUUUUACAGUGUGGUCCCAGGUCUCAUAGGUGUGAAAGCUUUGCUAUAUGUAUGCUGUUGGAGAAAUUAUAUAGCUGUUGUGGUGAAAAUUCCUAUUUAUGGUUAAAUAAAUCAUGUUGUUUCUUCUUUGUUAAUAACCAUGCCUACUAUGAUCCUGCGCUUCUUACUCUUUGUGUAGGCUUGUUGUCAAAACAACAAACUUAACAUGUGCUUGAUUAACUCGGUCAAGCUAUUGUUGUAGUUGUCUGAUGUAUAAAAGUGUAAUGUUCUCCUGAUGUCUAUUCUGAUGUUUCUACUAUACUACUUUUCUUGAGAAGUUUUCAUGGUCCCACCCAGAUUAUACGCCAUAUUAGAUCAUCAGAUUACCUACUAAUCGACUUGCCAAUGACUACAACACUUGGUUGAUUGCUUGUGGAUGAUUCUGCAAUGUAGUGAAAGAAUUUCAGUAACUAAAUCCGCACACUGUUCUUCAACAAUGGACAAUUUCUGAAACUUUUUGUAGAUUGUGACCGAUAUGAUUCAGGUCAGAAACGUUGGAUGUUGAAUGCUAUAGGAAUGGCGAUACAUAUGCUAUCUGUGAAUCAAUUGGCCCAAUCCUGCCUCACUAGCUAUGAGAAAUAAUUUAGAUGAGAGUUUAUAAAGAGCAUGUCAAAGAAAAGUGAGUCUGGUUCACGAUGGUGCACGAAAGGUGAGGGUGCUUUACGCUCAGGACAGUUGAUUAGGAACUCUUUGAUUUGUAUCAUUACCACUGGCUUGGUACCUGUACGUAGAUGUGUAUGUGUAUCUGUAAAAAUUAAUGUUUUGGUUUAGUAUUUUUCUUAAUUCUCAAGAGCAAAAAGAAAAUAUGUUGUCAGUGUGUACGUACAAUACUAUACACAUCAAGUCGGAAUCAAAGUCGGAUCGAAAGCGAAGAAAUGGCUAACCCUGACCGUGCACCUCUCCAGCCCCAGGGUUUACUGCUUUGAACGCUUUAACGAUUUUGUUAUUAUUAUUGCUGUUCAAUCAGGUUGCGACGAAUCGGAUCGGGAUGGGUAGCUAGAUGUGGAUCGAUGGUGGCGGCUGGAAAGGGUUAACCCUCGUCGUCUACCUCUCCUGCUACUCGGUGGUGACGUGUGAACUAUCCGACGUAUGAGGACUCGGAAUGUGGUGUUUGCUCCACAAUGAAGCACAUGACCUUUCCUUGAAGGAUGCAUGGACACGUGCGGACCAUCCCCCACCCCCUCCAAUGAAACAAGUCUGUAACAUUGAUUCAGAAGCGAGAGGGCGAGUCUGUAACAUUGAUUCAGAAGCGAGAGGGCGUAUGAGGCUCGGUGUACAUAUGGACCAG